CAUGCUACAAACCCCGACUUCAGGAAGGGGUGUAUUUAUUAGAUAAAAAACCAACGCCCUUCGGGGCUCCUUGGUGAAUCAUAAUAACUUAACGAAUCGCAUGGCCUUGCGCCGGCGAUGGUUCAUUCAAAUUUCUGCCCUAUCAACUUUCGAUGGUAGGAUAGUGGCCUACCAUGGUGGCAACGGGUAACGGGGAAUUAGGGUUCGAUUCCGGAGAGGGAGCCUGAGAAACGGCUACCACAUCCAAGGAAGGCAGCAGGCGCGCAAAUUACCCAAUCCCGAUACGGGGAGGUAGUGACAAUAAAUACUGAUACGGGGCUCUUUCGGGUCUCGUAAUUGGAAUGAGAACAAUUUAAAUCCCUUAACGAGGAACAAUUGGAGGGCAAGUCUGGUGCCAGCAGCCGCGGUAAUUCCAGCUCCAAUAGCGUAUAUUAAAGUUGUUGCAGUUAAAAAGCUCGUAGUUGAACCUUGGGCCUGGCUGGCCGGUCCGCCUCACCGCGAGUACUGGUCCGGCUGGGCCUUUCCUUCUGGGGAACCUCAUGGCCUUCACUGGCUGUGGGGGGAACCAGGACUUUUACUGUGAAAAAAUUAGAGUGUUCAAAGCAGGCCUUUGCUCGAAUACAUUAGCAUGGAAUAAUAGAAUAGGACGUGCGGUUCUAUUUUGUUGGUUUCUAGGACCGCCGUAAUGAUUAAUAGGGAUAGUCGGGGGGCGUCAGUAUUCAGCUGUCAGAGGUGAAAUUCUUGGAUUUGCUGAAGACUAACUACUGCGAAAGCAUUUCGCCAAGGAUGUUUUCAUUAAUCAGGGAACGAAAGUUAGGGGAUCGAAGACGAUCAGAUACCCGUCGUAGUCUUAACCA
rnacentral:rRNA from 1 species